GUAAUGCUAAAACAGCUGCUUGUGCCUUUAAGAGAAAAUGGUGACAUCAUUUUGCAUGGGUGGAGUUAAACAAAGAGCGGCCAGGUUCUAGAGACAGCGACUUUCGAGUACUUUUCCCAGGAAAGAUUUUCAUGAGUAAAUUGAUCAGUGCUGGAAUAGCAUUGUGCGAAUUUCCUUAUCGGCCUAGAAAAUUAGUCCUUUGUAAUUUAAACUACAAGGCAAUAUAUUGUAAAAGUUUAUUUGUGUCUUUCUUUAUUGUUUCAUCGACCAAAUGUGAAUGUAACAGAGUAAUGUGAAUGUGUUAAACUCUGUUCACGUAGCGUGACCGAGGAGAACUCGUUUCAAGGUCCAGACUAUGUGUUUUUGGAAGCUAAGCACGUGUGUGCCAAAGGUGAACUCAUUAACUGACCGUGCACAGGUUGUGGGGAUAUGGGAGGAAACCAGAUGACCCAGAGACGAGAAUGCGCAAACUCCACCCUGAUAGCAUUGGAGGUCAGGACUGAAGCCAGGUCUGUGGAGCUCGGAGGCAUCAGCUGUACUGGCUAUACCACACUGCUCUUUGAGAAGCGCCAUGGGAUUUCUUCUCGUCUACAUCUGGAGCCUCAGUUUAUCAUCACAUCCAAAAGACAGCAACUCCUAGCAAUUAUUAGGGGUCCAUUCCUAUACCAGAGUGUCAAUGCAGAAAUCUGCGAUUCACGCUUGACUCAAUGACAAGAGUUUAUCCUGUUGAGCGAAGGCAGAUACUUCAGUACUGACUGCUCUGAAAUCACACAUCAGCUGCCACACUCAGUCUGGUAAAACCUGGAAGUAUGGGCAUAGCCAAACAUACUCAUUUCUCAAUUGUCAGGAACUUUCAGACUAUUCUAGUGCUGUUUAGAAUUGUAGCUUCCUAGAAAUUUAUAUAAUUAUUGCUGUGUAGACCUAACUGUUUAAUGCUACUGUUUAAUGACUUUGGGAUAACAGCAGUUGUAGAUAUUAACACUGGAACGAUGUUUACUCUGCUCACGUUCUGUAAUUUUUCAAUUUCUUCAUUUAAUUCAGCAUACUUCUGGUGUUUUACAGUUUUUGAUUUCUGUACGUUUUGAGUGUUUGGAAUGGCUAUAUCUACUAAGGAACUUGUUCUUUAUACAUUAUAUAUUAGUAUUCCUGAUUAAACAAACUAUGUCACAACUCAUGGGGAUUCCUCCAGUCUACUCAAACAUCAAGUUACUGGCUAUGGUACCCUCAAGAUCAAGCCAAAAUCCCCAACUUAUUAUAAAAUGGGUUAUUAUUAGUUCAACCAGGAAGCUCAGAAUUCUUACUUUAUCUUGCCAUUCCGCCCUCUUUCCCAUUAUCCUGAUUACGUAGGUGCUUAUCAAUUUGUGAGCCUAAUGCAAAUUGCAAUUCAUCUUGACUUUCAUGCUGGUGUGUAUCAGCACCCUAUUGGACUUUGGGAUCCUCUUCCAGAACAUAGACUUCAACGUAUAUUGAAUUUUCAAGGUAAUUGAAGGGCAAAAAGAAUUCCUCAUGGCCACACCCCUAUUUUAAAGCUUACCUUUCCCUCGCCAAUAAUCAGCUGAACUUCAGUGUCCCCAUUCUCAUCUCUGGGCUUGAUCUAAUCAUUAAGCCAUCAAUAGACGUGACACCUCCCUCUUUUUGCCCUUCAUGAGCCUCCACCAUUCUGCUGAACAUAGUUUUCAAAUCUGAUAUAACAGUUAAGACCUUAAAGCUCUCUGAGGAUUUCAAAUUCAUAUGAAAUUCUCACACCUACGUAAUCAGAAAAAUUCCUCCCCACCCCUGAAAUGAUGGCCUUUACAAUACAAUAUGGAUGUUGCGCCUUGCAUUUAAUUUGUUCAAGUAACAGGAAACAAAGCUGUGACAAUUUUAACUAUCACUUGCUUGUACUUUCUCAGCUGCAGAGGUCAAUAGUUACAGCUGCCCUGCUUCUCAAUCCCAUGGAAACAAGGAUUUCAGUGAAAUAGCAGGUGUUCAAAACUCACCAAAGCAAUAACUGAAAGCGCAGUUGAGAGCAAAUGGAUCACUUUGUAACCGGUACUUCAAAAGCUAUGCUUGUUAAAAUUUAAAACAUCAUAUUCAAAACAGUGAACUGAAAAAGCAAACUCUUCAUUAUACACAUUACGCUUCCAUAAACAAUUAUUUGUAGUUUCUUUACAAAGGUCCACUCUAUCAUCUGUGCACAACUUCUUAACCAUUAAAAUCUUAACAACAUUAAUAUUUACCCCUGGAUCUUAUGAAGCAACCAACAGCAUUUGGUGAUGCAGAGGGCCCUGCUUUCAAUCAUCUGCAAGUUAACAGGGAAACCAGCUCUACUCAAUUGCCAUCAUCAUGGGGCCAGAGCUUCUGUCCUCCUUUACCUGAAGCUUAAUGCCGGGAUCAGUUUUAUGCCAGUCACAAAUUCAGCCUGCAGCCAAUUCCAACAUUAAUUUCUCAUCCGUGAGAGAGAAUAUUGUCAAUUUUGCUACAGAGUGCUCAUCAAUCGGUACAAGGCAAUGCUCUCUAUGCUGCUCAUCAGAUUUGGGUGGGGAAACACAUUUUGGGAUCUCUCUGCUGAUGCUGGAUUUAUGGGUAUGUGGGUCAAAAAACCCAAAGCAAAAUCUGAGUUUUCCCAGUGUUUGUUUUUUAAGACUAGGUGGUUAAAAGAAGUCUGAUUUUCCUUCUUCCAAAUACUCACAUGACCAAUGUUGUUGCUUUCCUUGCUAAAAUUCCCAUUUCUGAAUGCACCAAUCUAUUCCUCAUUAAAUGACAAUCAUAAAAGAAACAAACACUGGAAAUAGCCCAUCAGCCCAAUUCAUCGGCACUAAUUGGCUAGCUCUCCCUGGAUCCCACAUGUUCUCACCUUCCAGACCAGCCUAGCAUGUGAAAUCUUACCAAAAUCCAUGAAGACGAGAUCUGAUGCCCAGCACCCCAUCAAUCCUCAAUCAACUCUUUAAAAUCUGUGAGAGAUUAGUUACUACAUCAGGCCAAACUGGUCAUCCCUAAUCCCUGGUUUUACUAAAUGUAAAUAUAUUCUGUCUCAAUGAAUACCUUCUAAUAACCUUACUGUCACUAAUAUUUGGCUCACUAGUUUGUAGUUCUCCAUCUUGCACUAAAAUAAAUAAUGACUUUCUUCUGUGAGUCAUCAAUUAGUGCUGUUGAUUCAAUAUUUUUCUCUCCAUGGCACCCUGACCUACUGACCACAUCCAACAGUCCUGCUUAUGAGUAACAGAUAACACAGACCAAUAAGUUUAAUCACCAUUUGUCAUAGGCUUUCCUUAUUAUAUUGAUUGCCUCUGUCCUAACCAUCCCAUCCACCACUCUCUGUGGACUUGAAAACAACUUUUUUUUUAAUUCUCUUUACCAAAUUGCAUGAAGGUCCUCCAACCUGGAAAACUAACUUUAUUGCUCUAUCUAGAGAAGCCUUCUGGCUUAUUGAGUAUGGAUUUCUAGCAUUUCCUUGCUCUGGCUGGUCAUAAACUGAACCCACAGGGUCAGAAUUUUUGAGAUACAGUUAAAAAGGUGAGAUUCUGACUACCAUCAAGACCAAAUAUUUCUGCUUUCAGAUUAUCUCCAAACUUCAAUCUUGCCUAAGUUCAUCAGCUGCUGAAACCCUCAGCUAUGCUUUUUGUUUCCUCUUUCUGGAUCUGCUGUGUAAUGACAGACCUGGAUGGUCACCAUGCUGCAAUUCUUCUAUGAAUUAGAGCUGUUGCCCAUGUCCUAGUUAACACUACAUCACCCAGCGGGUCAUGUGCACCAAAUUGUACUGCCUCAUUGAAUUUAAGAUUUUCAUUCUGUUUUAUAAUAACAUUCUCACCACUCCCUCCUUUAAUGAAGUCCACAAGCUCGAAGACUCACCAAGAUAGUCACACUCUUCCAAUUCCUCAUGAUCACAAAUACAAUGGGUUAAAUCACAGUGGACUGGCCCACUAACGGAAGUAGUGCCCUCUCCCCAUACACACAAGUGCUCUGCACAAGCCUAGAGGCAGGGAGCAAACAGCAACUGAGCAGCAAAAUGUAGAGGCCCUACGCUUGAAAUGUCUCUGAAAUUCCAAAACAAGAGGCAAAAACUCUGAAUGUCUGCACAAUUUCAUUGGUAUUUUAAAAUAACCUCAAAAUUGAACCUACCAAAAUAAUAAUACAAAAGCUAAAAUAACACUGAUGAUUAGAAACACAAAUAAAUGUAAAUAUUAAGUUAAAGCAAAAUAUUAAGAAGAAUUUAUCUUUCCCUCCUAUUGUGACCAGCCACAGGAUCCAAGAGCUGUAAUGCAUAACGCAAGGAGAAGUGGGCCUCACUACUGAAAUCCAUCUGUAAUCCAGAGGUAGAGCAGUGGCAGAUGUGAGGCGACAUACCACUCAGUAAUUCCAAACUGCAUAUGCUUCCAAGUGCAGAGUAAUGUCUGGAAUUAUUUUUUUUUAUUCGAACAGUUCUAAAUGGUUCCAAGCUUGGAAAGAUCUGGCCUUAUAGCCCUGCCACUGGCAACCUGACCCAAAGCUCAGGAAUUCCGUCCCUAAUCCCGUGUAGUUCUCCUGACUUUACUUUGAGAUACACAAAAAUAAAAUACUUUUUAAGCAAAUUUUCCAUCCUUCACUCUAAUCUUUCCAAAGCAGACUCAUAUACAUUUCUGAAACCCUUUGCAGGGUUUACCUUAUAGAAGUUACAACAUUAAAGUAAGAGGCUUGAUUUUCUUUUGGUAAUGUUUAAAACUGAAAAAGUCCACAACUGAACAAAAUUAUGUCAUUCACUGUUCUUAAAGAGUUUACUUUGCAGUUUUAAAUGUUAUAGUUCUGCAUAAAUACAGAAAAACAUCAACAGUAAUCUAGAAUCAUUAAAUUAUUAUUGCUGCGUUCUUUAGCAUUGGACAUGCUAUAUAAAGAACAUUUAACUUCUAUGCUUGGUUGUCAGUCUUUAGUCUGCAAUUCAGUUUUGUGAAGUGUUUUAGAUUUCUCCGAAGUCAUCGAUCCAAAACUGGAGAAAUCUUUCUCCUUGAGCCUCUUGGAGCAGGAAUUGCAAAUCAGCUGAUACAAGAUCAAAUCUUGGCUAUUUGUUUCCAGCAAUGGCUCCUAUAAAUUUUCAUGAACCUCACCAAUAUUACCUAACUUUAUUUUCUGGAGAAGAAAUAGAGGCUGGAAAAUUCAUCAACUGUACUGGGAAGUCAUGUGCAUUAUGGCUGGUCUUAUUUUGCCAGGGUUGAACGGAGAUUUCAUCCAGCACUGUUCCAGUGUUUCAGUGAUCAACUUCCAAAGCUCCACUUCGACAAGAGAGCAGCGUUCCCUCAAAUCUUAUUUACAGCUACUCCAAGCAGGAAACUUCUACACAGCCUGAAAACUGCACAGCACCUUAAAUGUAUUUUUUGUAAAAUGCAUACUAUGAAUAUAUAGAAUGAAAAUGGAAAAAUCACAUAUUUUUGAUUUUAUUUAUUAAUCAAAGGAUAGAAUGAAAUUCAGUACAACAAAGAAAAUCUUUCACGUUCUGGAAACAUUUUCUCAUGUCUUCAUAACAAAUCCAUUGUCUAUAAACACCAUCCAUGUUAAUUUUGCAUGCAGAUAAUAAAUACAUCUUAAUCCUCAUAACUUAAUCCAAGUGUUCCACUUCUUGUCUGUUUCUGGAUUUGCAUUUGAUUGAAUUCAUAAGACAGAGUCCACAUUCACAGCCAGCAUUAGGAGCUUGAAAUAUUUCAGUGAAAUCAACAGGAAUUGACAGUUCUUCAAAUUCUUCGUUUCUACACAUGUCAUUCAGCUUAUCAGUGAACAUUUUAAUUGAACUUGUUUAACUUUCUCAGAAACGACAUUUCUGAAAUCACAGUAUUGCUGCAAUAUUUUGAGGUAACACUUUCAUCAUGGUUCGGAAUAGAAGCUGAUUUUUUUUUGUCAGUCAUACAACAUUCUCUUUCCAACUUCAAAAUGUGCCACAUUUGCACUAGCAACAAGGUCAAAAACUUGCCAUCCUCUUAACUCUUCGUCAGGAGAUCUAUUAUUCAAUUGAUUACAGACAUGUUGAAUGAAUCGAAUAACAGGUGCAGUAUUGACGCCAGAACUUAUAGAUGCAAGCAGAUCUUUCACUUUGUCACUCCAAUAAACAAUGUCAUCAGGAUACUGUGACCACAACUUGUUAAUUUUUGAUUUUGUAUACUGCAGUGCUUCAAAUGUAUUCAAACAGGUUUUCUGAAGGGUUUUACAGAGAUGCCAGAUCUUUUAAAACAUCGAUAUUCUGGACUGGUCAAAAUCUUCAGGGAGUAGUUAUUGAUUGAUUAUAUUCAUUAACUUGCUCUUUGCAAUACUGGAUUAAAAUUUAGUGAUUCCUCAUUAAAGCAGUAAUGGCAAAAUGUUAUAACAGCCAUCUUACUUCAUUGAGUUGUCCGAGUGACAACAUCACAUUUUGUCACUUUAGCUAAUUCUUCUAGUUCUCCUUUUUUAACUGAUGACCUACUGAACAUUGUAAAGACUCUAUGUAUCAGUGUUUCUAUAUUCUACAUAAUUAAAGUUCUUUUAAUAUUUGUCUAAUACCAGGUCGUCUCUGUGCAACACAAUGUUGCUCAGAUACCUUAUUUCUCAGCAGAGAAUUGCUGUUAUCCAUUAUUUUUACCAAGCAUAACAUUUACCCUGUCUGAUGUACAUUUCAAAUAUCAAGACUGUCGUUAUAAAAAAGUUUUAUUGCUUCAACCAAUACUGAUACUGUCACAUGAAGUUAGUUUCAAAAUACCCCGACAGUCUUACAGGAGGUUUCAUAUUCCAAUCGAAACUUAAUUUACAAAAUUAACAUUUUCUACACAGAGAUGUCUGUACUUUUGUCAGCAUUUAUGGAUGGAAAGCAGGUUUCAGCAAUUCUUCCAUUGAAUGUUUCUGAAGCAGAAAGCUGAUGCAUUCAACAAAUUAAAGCAUACAGUACUUGCUGAGCCAACACUCCGGUAUAUUUACAUAUUUGGCCAGGUGCAAGAAUUUCUUGCAAGGAAUGCAUAGAAGCAUUAAUUUUAAGGCUUAGAUAAAGUUAUCAAUUACACUUUGACCAUAUCAGAGUUAAACUUCUUCCGCACAUCUUGUUUCACACUUGCUUCACGCUCUUUUAAAGUUUCAGUUAAUAAGCGCAAAAUUCCACAUUUCUUCUAGUUGUGUUAUUUGGUAAAUGCAUCUCUAUGAAUUCUCUGGUUAAGAUGUCUUUUUAGGUAAUCUAACUUCCAUUCAUCCCAUUUUUUCCACCACUGAACUUGCCCCCAACUUUCUUAUCCACACAAAUGGUGCUUACAACAUUCCCAGUAUGUAUCUGAGAGUUGUAAAAGCCAUUCUGCCUUAAAUGUUGUACAAGCUUUGUUCUUCAAACUAUUUAACUCUCUACUUUUUUUUUCAA